rnacentral:rRNA from 1 species
CAGUCGCCGCGGUAAUACGAAGGGUGCAAGCGUUAAUCGGAAUUACUGGGCGUAAAGCGUGCGUAGGCGGUUUGUUAAGUCUGCUGUGAAAUCCCCGGGCUCAACCUGGGAAUGGCAGUGGAUACUGGCAAGCUAGAGUGUGUCAGAGGAUGGUGGAAUUCCCGGUGUAGCGGUGAAAUGCGUAGAGAUCGGGAGGAACAUCAGUGGCGAAGGCGGCCAUCUGGGACAACACUGACGCUGAGGCACGAGAGCGUGGGGAGCAAACAGGAUUAGAUACCCCAGUAGUCCCUGUCUCUUAUAC